CUGUGGCCAUAUCACGUUGAAACACCGGUUCUCGUCCGAUCACUGAAGCAACAUUGAGGCUGAUCAGUACUUAGAUGGGUGACCGUUACGGAAAAACAGGAGCUGUAAG